rnacentral:lncRNA from 1 species
UCCUCUUCUGACUGGCAGGUCCAUGUGGAGGUUCUGAUUGGCUAUUGAGUCUUGAGUGACAUGAGCACCACCCUUAGGGUUAGAGUGUGUUAAAGAGACACAGCAUAGAGGUUCCAGCUUUGGCCAAAAGUUUUCCAGAUCUGUAGAUUUGAAGUUCGUUAGCACAAGAACCUCUCGUCCAAUUGCUUACCGGUCUGUCCUCCCAUCAAGCCCCUGGGAGAACGUAAGACUUCACAUCCCUGCUAUUCAACUGCCUGCUUCUUCCCCCUUGUGGGCAGUAACUCUAUGCUUCCCUGCUUUGCAAAUUUGGAGCUUGCUUGAGCUCCAAUCACAGCACUCAGAAGGUAUUUCCACUUCUUCCUCCUGGAUUCAAGUUGGAUGGCUCUCACAGUCAAUAAAUCAGAUUAGCUUCAAAAGAUUUUGCAAUGCCUUUCUUCAAGUGUGGGAGCAUUGAGAUUUUACUCAGGGAAUCUAGACACAUUUACACAUAGGUUUGCCUACUCCUAUGAAUGUCAAGUUAAAUCCUUUUCUGAAGAUGGUCAAAUGUAAAAACUGAGAUAUUGAAGGGCAUUCUUACCUCAUAGUCAUCCAGAAUCAUCCAUAAAUUAUAAAAAUGUAGGAUAUAAAUGAAUCUGGAAAGUACAUCUUGUAGUACAGGUCUUAGCUGUAAAUCAAGGGACAGCUGAGAACUCAUAUUUUGAACUCCACGAAAGUGGGAGCUUGCAAUAUUGGCGUGGUCAGAAGAUGUUAAAGCCUGAAAAUGCACCCAAGUGUCGCACCUCUUCCAAAAAGGCAGACCUGUGUUGCUUCCCAAACAUUUUCACAAACUAGGAAACAUGUAUUCAAACUUAUGAGUCUACGGGAGCCAUAUUAAUUUAACAACCAUCUGUCUCCUCAAACGUGAAAACACCUGUUUAUCUAACAUGACUCUACCAUAUCCUAAAGAGAGACUAUUAUGCUUUCAACAUACAAUGUCACAAAAGAAGCCUUACCAGAAAGAAUCAGAGCAUAUAAACAAUAAACAGAACAAACAAGACCAAAAUUCAACAGGGAAUCCAUCAAAACUAAUAGUUUCUUGUUCAGCAACUUGAGAUUAUGAUGAAAUUGCAUAAGUCACAAGGUCUUAGGUAUUCCCACUCUUUUAGUUCUGUCACCUGAAGCACACACAGCUUUGUUUCCUCAAAGUCACUAUCUUCUUUCAGCUUUCCUCAAAGCUGGUGUUUGUAUCUCAAAUCUAUAAUGUAUAGCACUCUCUCUUAUUUUAUUGAAAGUAGGUUAGUGGGCUACAGGGAUCAUUCAGUUGUUGUUAAGAGCACUGCUCAAACCCAUUUCACUUCCUAGCACUCAAAUGGGAGUUCACUCAUCUGUAGCUACACUUCUAUGAAAAUACUUUAGUAUAAGCUGGUACCUGGCAUUGACUUGGAUGGUUACAUAAGUGGUACAUUUGCUCUAAAUCCUGACAUCUACAUUUAAGAUUAAUGAUAUCAAAGUGUACCUCUGUUGCCAAGGACCAAGCCUGGGCUUGGAGAGUGGUAGAGAGAGAAGGGGUAUCUGGGAGCAUGAAAACAAAGGACUGGUAGUCAAGUCCUGUGAUCAAGCUGUCAGUCUAUGCUCUGCAGGAGACAGCUUCCCAUCCUCCUUUCGCUGUAUUCUGUUUUCUUUCUGAUCUGCUUGCUCUGCAGGUCUCCAGACAGCUCUCUGUCUAUGUUCUGCUGGAGACUCUUCACCAAGCAGCUAUCUCCUGCUAUUCUAAAAAAUUCACUCAAUAGUUCAUCUCCUGCAUACCAUAACCAGAAUCUAUUAUUAUAACUCUCAACCCAGCCAUUUACUCCAGGUUUCCUUUUGAUGGUCUUAAAAUAGCAUCCUGUGUCCACAGGAACUUAAUUCUUAUGAGACAGCAAGCACACAUUUUCUUUUAAACUUACAAAAGCAGAUAUCUGCCUGCCUCUGUGAAGCAUAAAGGCUAAGCUCAAACUGGCUGGGUGCGACCCAGGCCUGAAAUUGCCAUUUCUACCACACAUGAGACUAAAUUUGCUCUUUCCCAGGCUGAUCCUGAAAUCAGUAAUCUGUCAGCCUUUCUGACCCGUCUAGCCGGUCCAGGUAUUCGAGGGUCUCGAGGGGACCUCCUCCUAAGAACCAAAUGGAGGGUAGAGAGGGACGAGGGCCUUGUGCGAAUAACUACACGGAAACCAUUCUGGAAUGCAUCAAAGCCCCCAAAUGUAUUAGCCAGGCCCGAGGUUUAAAUGCACAAGCAAAAGGGGAAGUACAGAUACUUAUCAGUGGGAGGGGUAGGGCAAUACAAGCAAAAGGAGAAGUACUUAUGUGAGGGGGGCAAUAGAAAUUCUUUUGGCAGCUACACGGGGAAGCAGGAACUUGGUGGUAUCAGGGUGUGGUCAGGACAUCGGUGAUGACCUAGGGCUGGAACAUCCCCUGGUUCUCGGAAUCCAUGUGUCGGUGGCCUGCUUUUGACCCCUUUUCUUCUCGGGGGAAGAGGCCCAAUUCAGAGAUCAAGAGUUGUCUUAAUAGCUCCCAACAUCUCCCCCGUUUUAAUAUUUUUAUAAACGCAUAUUGUAUAAUAAAUUUGUAGCCACGUUUU